CGCGCCGGGCGGGGGAGCGAGAGGCGCGGGGACUGGGCGCGGACUCCUGAGAGCGUGGCCUGGCGUCCGCACAGGGUGGAAUUCGUAUUUGGCCAGGAAUCCGGACUCCGAUCAUCCCAGGAGACGCGGACCGGGGGCCUCCAGAGCUCUCCGGAGCGUGCUGCCGCUCCCCACCAGCCACCAGGGACUCGGAGGCCCUUCCUGGGUCCGGAGAAGCGACGGGGACACUUAGGGGAAAACUUUGCCAACUUCGCUCUUGGCGCGGAAGAGGCCGCUGGCCGGAAUGGUGCAGCAGCGGCGGCGGGCCGCGACGCGCAGGGUGGGCCCCGGGCCAGUGCUGGGCACCCUGGAGCGCGUCGGGAUGCCCAAAGUGGGGCGUGAGGCCGGUGGGCUCUUUGCUCCUCCGCUUCGCCCCUGCGCCUCCCGCGACCCGUCUCACUUCCCUGCGUCUCUGAGCGGCCCGAGAGGCGCAGCGCUCAGAGUGGCCUUGAUGGAAGAACCUGGCCCUCGGCGGGAACGAUUUUCUUUUGCUUUACCUCUUCUGGAUCAGCCGUUUUCCACCUGACUUGAGCAGCCCCCUCCCCCAUGCCUUUUUUUUCUCGUUCCCUCCGUCUGUCCUCACAAUUUCCUCUAUCUUCGAUUUCUAGAUCAUUCGCUUUUCUUCUCUUUCCUCCGCUUCCUCAUUGUGCUGUUUUUAUGCCUUUGCCCUGGACCACUUUUCAGUUCACUUUUCUCCCUUCUGCUCCCUCCCUCACCCCCUUCUUAAUGUCUCUUUUUUCCUCGCCCUGAGUCUGUGACUGUGUCCCUUUCCCCCAUCUGCAGUUGCCGUUUUUGAUUUUCUUUCUUUCCUCCCCACUUCCAUCCGGAUCCUCUCCUAUUUCCUCCUUGGAUUUCUGUCUCUCAGGUUCUGUCUCUCAGGUUCUCCUCUCCGUAAAUAUUCUCUCCUCUCCCUCUCCGGGAUCCGUCCCCUCCCCCACGUGGAUCUGCCUCCCCGGCGCCCCCUCCUCAUUCAUCCUGGGAGAUGAAUUUGUCGCCUUAUUGGACGCCGAGGCCAGAGCCGUGUGAGGGGGCUCGGCCAGCGCUGUGCAUUUUCUUCAUGCAUAUUGAGGAGAUGGUAAUGAGCGCGUUUGCAUUGUUGCUUGGAAAUGUUGUGUUUCCUGCCGCAGUUCGCAGUUCGGAGUGGGCGAGGGUGGUGUGGGCCCAGGACAGCCCCUCAGUAGGCACCCGGCCUGGCGGCCGCCGCUGACCCUCUCCGGAUUCCCGGGCUCUGGGGGCCGGGGGAGGAAGCGACCUUGCCGAGCUCCUGACCCGGCCGCCGCCUCCUCCUCCGGUUUGUCCACAAAGGCCGUCGCGCUCCCCUCAUUAAAGCCUCGUUACAGGAACCCCCGGCUGGCUCGCGACGGCUCCUCCGAGCCCCCCUGCCCACCGGCCUCUGAGCCCCUCCCCUGAUUUGAGAGGCCUGUGAUGGAGCGCCACCAGAAAAUUAGUGCCUGACAACGUCGUCUAUUGGCAAUAAAUUGAGAUUCCAAGUGACACGUCGCGGGAUCAAACACAGCCACAUUGUUGUGUACCCUGCUCCGCUCGCUCCUCGUUAAUCUUGGAGGGCGCCUUGGCAUCGCUUGGCCAGGGGAGGUUGUAGGCAGGCCUUUCGGCUGUCAGGACUCGGAUCCUGCCUCUGCCCUGGCUGAGCCCACUUCAGUCAUUCAGGAGGGACUGACUGCCCCUCCCUGAUAAGGUCCAAGGCGCUCAGGAGGCGUGACCCAGGAACGCCUUUCAAUAAGCUGAAGGUUUAUUAAAGUCAGGAGCUUCGAGGGGCAAACUCUGAGUUAAGCUUGUGGGGAAUCGACGUGAGCCUUGCUGGGAAUUCAGAACAUCAAGGUCUGGCCUUGUCUGGAAUUGUCUGGUGUCGAGUUUCCCAAACUUCAAGCUUCCCGCUACUACCUUUAUUAUUUACUUAACAUUUUUCCUUAAAUUGACUCAUUUUUAAAAUCAAAGUACAUAUUUUUGGAAAGAAAAUCUGAUACUACCACUGUAAAUUGAAAAGUAGCUGUUACUCACCAGAAAAGGAAGUGGUAAAAGAUAAACACAGCUAAAACCAAGCAAUGUUAAUACAUGUUAGCCGUUUUGCUGGCUUGGAAAGACUCCUAGAGGCUCAGGUGUGAUGCCACGAGAAUACUCAGAUAGCACACGGACAGGCCCACAUGGCAAUGAAUUGCAACUUGCCAGCAACCAUGUGGGUUAGCUUGAAGUGAAUUCUCUAGUCCUGUGUCUUCAGGUGACUGUAGCCCUGGCUGACCAUGUGACUGAACCUGAGGAGAAGCUGAGCCAAAGGCACACAGAUAAGCUGCACCUGGAUUCCUGACUACAGAAACUGUGAAGUAAUAAAUGUUUGCUGUUCAAAGCCAAGGGUUGGCAAAAUA
rnacentral:lncRNA from 1 species